UCAGUCUGGGCGGGAAUGUGGAGAAGCGCGUCGCUUUUCUCAACCAGUCACUGGGGUGCGUGAUGACGAAUGGUUUGUCUGUUUCGUGUAGGACGAAGGCUAUUCAACGUAGUCGUUGAUUCCUUGGAUGCAACAUUAAGAUAUCCUACAUGGUUUGGCAAUUACGUGGAUCAUUUUUGUACAAAGAGAUAUCGACCAUAUCCUGGAGAAAAUACGUUUGCAAACAUGCGAAGAUAGGCGCCAGACAGGGGCUGCUAUGUCAAAUCUUAUUGUUUCGUGAACUCAAGAUUGAUUGUCGGAACAAGGCAAAAGUCACCAUUGUGAAUUAUACAACUAUGUGAAGUGGAGAGUUAAGUGUUUUACUAUUUUUAAAAAAAAAUUUCCACGGGGGGUUGGGCGUAUAUGUGCAACAAAAAGAACAUUUUCCAUACGUUGGCCUCAGAUUGGGUCACGUAUGUUAUUUAAGAUAAAAAAAAAAGCCUUUUUCUUGUAGUUGGCAUUGGAGCAUUGUUGCAUAAGUAUACCGUUUGAGUUAUUUAUUUUAUAGGAAUUCAAUACAUCAAAAAAUUAAUUUUGUCAAUGCAUUGAGAUGAUACAUUGGAUUGGCUCACAGAGACUAAAGAAUAACCUUAAAAUUUUGUUAUACCCUUGUCAGAAGUAAUAACUGCCAGUGUUAUUGAGUUUACCCCUUCUAUUAUCAAUUAUAUAAUUUUCCAACUAAAUGAAAACUAAGUCUAACUAUGAGCUUGUUAUCAGUCGUACACGUGGGUUGUAGCGAUUUACAAUAUAAAUCUAUCAGAAUAGUGUUUAUUACAUUUUGCUACAUUUAAUUUAUUUUAGAUUAAACAAAUCAAUGGAAUUGAAACUGAUUAUAUUUUUCUAGAAACAAGACAAAUUUGAAAACGUGAGCGGCUAUAGGGAACAAAUGUUCUACUAAGCUUCCACAUGCAAGGUUGACUAUAAACUUCACUGCAUGCAAUGGAUGGCGAGCGUGUGAAAAUGUCAAUGCAGAGGAAGACAUUUUAGGUUCAGUUUUGGUUCUUUUGAAAAAUUUCAUGAUUCCACUAUUCCCCUGUCAACAACAUUUUGUUUAGUGUAAUGUUUUUUAAUUUUAUGCUUCAUACAAAUUUUGGUCCUGAGAACCGGUGUUGCAGAGUCAACACAUAACCAAUUUGUACUAAGUUCAGUUAGCUGUUUAUCUAAGUUCAUUGUAUAAUUAUUUUUUAAUUUUACUGAUUUAUGCUCAACAUAACUAAGCCAAUUGGCAAGUUCAUAUGGGUUUUAAAUUAGGUGUCGGACGUGCAUGCAUUCACAAUGUGGAACUGCACUGCAUUUUUGGUAUUUUCUAUUUG